UACGUAGGGGGCGAGCGUUGUCCGGAUUUACUGGGCGUAAAGCGCACGUAGGCGGAUCUUUAAGUCAGAGGUGAAAUCCCAAGGCUCAACCUUGGAACUGCCUUUGAUACUGGGGAUCUCGAGUCCGGGAGAGGUGAGUGGAACUGCGAGUGUAGAGGUGAAAUUCGUAGAUAUUCGCAAGAACACCAGUGGCGAAGGCGGCUCACUGGCCCGGUACUGACGCUGAGGUGCGAAAGCGUGGGGAGCAACAGG
rnacentral:rRNA from 1 species